rnacentral:lncRNA from 1 species
UUGUCGUAUAUUAGAUGAUAUUUCUCAUGAUUUUGAGUGAGACUUUUUCUCUCCCUCAAAAUUUUGGGAUACUCAUCCUACCCUUACUAUAAAUGCAUCUGAACUCGAUUUUCAGUGAGCAUGUUGAUCUUUAUUCUAUACCUCAUUAUUUAUCAAGGCAUUAGAAACAUUAUUAAAUUUAAUUUCAUCUUUAUCAUAUAACAAGGUGGUUGUCAAGUGCUAAUAAGUGUCCGGUAAGGAAUUUAACAACAAAAGAGCCUUAUCAUCAUCAUUAAUUUCAAAAUCCAAAUUUUGCAAAUAAGCCAAAAUUUUAUUAAAACUAUUCAGAUGUUCAUUCAUGGAUGUACUGGAAGCGGAAUAAUUUUUUUUAGAUAGAGCCGAUUCUAAACGCUUUUGGUCAUAGACUUGUUCUUGUGUUUGUCACACAACUCUUUUGAUAAGGUCUCCUAGAUAACAAAGUACUUUUGGUCUCUAGUAAGACAAAUUCUGAUAGUGCCACAAGCUUGGUGAUUAACCUUUUCUUAAUCCUUCUCUUGCAUAUAUUGGGCUUAUCCUCUAAAGUAAUGUCCAACUCUUAUUGAGUUAGGACAUCUAAAACUUUGCAUUGCCAAAUGCCGAAAUUAUUUGUCCCAUCAAAGUUUUCAACUUUAAAUUUGGUGUUGUACAUAGUAGUCUUAUGCCCAGAGCUACCGAAAGUGCUAAUGGUUCAAUUGUCUACCAUCUAAACAAUUUUAACUCCACCAAAAUUUAUAUAGAAUCAAAAUACACAAAUUUGGACCACGCGAAUGAGUCUAGAAUGCAAGAAAAUAUUGAUAAGGUUUAAACUAAAAAAAUAGAAAGCCAAAGAACCAAACUAUAAUUUCUAAAAUUUUAGGGACCUAAUUGUAAUAUUUAAAAGCUUUAGAACAAAAAAGUAAUUUUUUCAAAAUUCAGGGAUUGCAAUGUAAAGUAUUUCAAAUUCUAGGGACUGAAAGUGUAAUUCACCCCAAAAUGGAAGCUCAACGGCUAGUCAAAUGGCUCGGUCAAAGUUAAAUGACUAGCUCGGCUGGUCAAUGGCUCAAGUAGAGGUCAGUAGCUUGGUUUGGCUUGGCUAGAUGAGAGUGAAGCCCACUUGUCUUCCUCUUUUAAGGCAUGUGAGGCACAUGAGUGAGAGUAUAUCUCAUGCACCAAAGUAUAGGCGACGCAUGACGGGGCUUGCAGGUGCAUUUUGGUACGGGGUUAGCUGUCGGAGCUUCGUCUCGUGGAGAUGAAUAUAGUGGUGCUAUCAAAAAUCAAUUUUGAGCAAUUUUACGAAACUCAACCUACGCUCUGAUACCAAUUGCUACGCUCAAAAUCCAAUCACCAAUCACACACAUAUACACACGCAUGCACAAACUCAAUGAUUUAUGAGGUUCGACAAAUUUGCCUACAUCCUCGGAUGGUAGGGUUUUACUAUAUUGGAAAAAUAGAUAUAGAUCUCUCAAGUAUUUCACUUUUUAAUCUAAAGAGACACAGAGUUUAACAGAGAUAGAAGAGAUAAACAGAGUUUUUUUAUGUGUGAAUGGUUAUGUUUCCAUUGUGCCUAGCAAGUGGUAUCAGAGCUAUGGUUGGUGAUUCAUAGAGGUGAUCCAUGUGGCAAUCCCAACAAGUAAUUUAGAGCUCAUGGUUUAACUUUGGAUUUUUGCAUUGGUGAGAUCUGGGUCACACAAGGAGAAGGUUUUUGGUGGUAGAUUUGGCAAGGCAGUCCAAAUCUAGUUUCAGAGGUUAGUGGUGUGUUUUUACACCAAUUGAGAGCGGUAAGGGUUUGGGUAGCUACACAGGGAGAGGUGAGCACAGUGGCUCUACGCAGAUUGAUGUAUGGUAAGCAAGGGUAGAUUAUUGCGGCUAUCGAUGUUUGUAGCUAGUUCAUGGCGACGAUCUCUUGGUCUUAUGCACAAACAAAGAGACGUAAAGCCACUUCAUUGCGCAAAGUGGUAUUCUUUGCAGGGCACCCUAGUGAAUGGGUGCGAGCACCUUGAUGAAUAGAUGCGAGAACCUAGGUGUGGAGAUGAGGACCAUGCUUAGUAUGGCAGAAUCAAACAACAGUGGAAUCCGCAUCGACAAGGUUCUUGGUGGUGGCGUGUGAUGGUUCACAUGGAAUUCUCACCAUGGGGGAGAUUGUUGGGAUUAUCUCGGAUUCCCAAUGGUGAUGGUUAAGAUUCAAAGAAUGAGGUCAAAGUUUCAAGUGUGACUUUUGGAGAGUUGUGUUUUUUAGUUUAUUGAAUAAUGGACUCUUGAUCUUUUGUUGUCUCUUAGAAUAUCUAUAAAUGGAUAACUUAUCGGUGAGAGCGAGAUAGAGUAAAUCAAGAUGUAAAGAUGUAAGGAGAUAGAAAAAAUACUAGGGGCACCAGGUGAAUGGGUGAAACUAGGAUUGUUUCGGGGCUUGGGUUUGGGUGUCAGUUUUUUGGUGUUUCUGGUCUCAUGUUUGUAUACUAUGAAUUAUAGUGGAUUUAUCUCUCUCCCAUGGACGUAGACUGGUGUGUGCCAAGCAAAGUAAAUUUUUGUGUGAUUCUUUCUUUUUUUAUGUGUGAAUGGUUAUGCUUCCGUUGUGCCUAACAUGCUUGUGGAGUCCUUACACAAGCCAAUUUGUGGAUGAAAUCAAAUCAAACUAAAUAAGUCUUGCAUAAAAUGGCAUGGUACAAUUACCUAGUUCCUUCUUCUAGUUUAGAUGUUCUAGUUUCUUCUCUCUUUUUGUACUCAACCAAUUAUGAAGGCAAGAUAAUUUUGGUUGGAGGAUUUUGCAAUGAAAUUUAUGUAAUAUGUUUAAGGAUAAGUCUCUUGAGAUGAAAAUGGAUUGUAUGUUAUUUCAAAUAAUUAGAAUGCAAGUGAUUUAAGCAUUAUUUGUACCAAGUAAUCUUGUUAACGAAUAAUCAAAUAUCUUUACAAUUCAAAGUUUUAAUCUUAGAAAAACCAUUAAUCAAUCGUAGAUAACAUUAAAACCAUUUAAUAGAGAAGGGGAACUAUCUCAUUCUAAGGGUUGGAGAAGGACUUGGUUCUUGGACCAAACCUAGGGAUUUAGCCCUCCAUGAACAUAAAAGACUUAAUCAUGGGUAAAAGAUAAAUCAUUAAGCAAACAAAUUUGACAAAAUGCUAGAAUAGAAAUGAAAAUUCAAUUGACCUUAAAUGGUGUUCAAUAAUCAAAGAUAAAAUCAACUUACAACCCGAGAAUAGCUUUCAGAAAAUACAAGCCUUGUACCUCUUCUUUUAUUGUCACUCUCUCUAGAAAACUAACUAUUCACCCCCAUAAAACUCCUCAAAGAAAAACUAAACUGCAAGAACCCCUUUUUCAUCAUGGAGUGUGCCUUUUAAAGGUCUUUCAAACUACAUAAAAUCACUCCCCUUUGUCCUUCCUAGAAGCCCUCCCCUCCUUUGGUUGUCCAACAACCCUUCUUUUGUUGCCCAACCACUCUCUUACAUGGCCCAACCACUCAUUUUUUGAUGAGAUUUCCUCUAAAUCAAAAGAUCUUGGAAGUUGUGGUUUUGAAAACAUCAAUCUUCCAUCAAAUGGAACCCUCCCAGCUGGGAUUUGACUCCUGUUGCGCUCCUCAACAAGUUGAAGAUUUGCUUUAACCGGUUGAACUUUGGUGGUUCAAUCUCUCUAGUUUCCUUCAACCGGUUGAACAUUUUGCUUCAACAGGUUGGAGACUUCUUCCUUAUGCCUCUGGAUUUGUUCAACGGUUGAACACUUUAGUUCAACCGGUUGAGGUAAAAAGGUUAGUUCCUCUACUUCAGCUGUACCGGUUGAACAUUGGAAGCGUCUCGCUUCAACCCUCUUUCGAUCUCUUUAAUGCUCCAAUUGACUUGCAAAACCCAUUUAUAACACUUUCACCAAACAAUGGUUAACUCAAAUAAAUAAUAAGCGCAAUGAUGCUAAAUUGCGGGAGAAUUGACUAGUAACUUAGUAUUUUAACAUGUGAAUCACACACCUCGACUUGAGUUUUGCUAGUCUCAUAGCAAAUUAAUCCCAACAUAAAAAUCUAACUCAAUCAGUGGUUUUGUUAAUUCAACACACUUUAGACUUAUACAAUUACACAACUUGAUGCAAAACUUUGAAAAAUUCUGCUAUAGGCCAGAUUUAAUUACAACUACGUAAUAAAAUUUUUCUUUAAGCGCAACCUAACAUACCAUUCAUUCAAGCCAUCCAUUCAAAUUGAGUUUCAACUUCAAACAUCACAAGGGUUAUGUCACUCAUAAAGAAUUUGCACAAUAACCCCCCACAAGCAUGAUUUGAUAGAAUUUAUACUAAAGAAUCCAAAAAUUUACGUACUUAAGCAAUGCUCCAGAUAAAAAAUAUACAUCUAUUCUACGAGCAAUGAGGAGAACGCAUAAAUGUAUAGGCAUAAUAAGGCAUAAAAACCAUAAGUUGUUCAAUUCAAUUCAUGACUAAAGGCACUACUAGAGUUAACAUGGACUUUGAAGCUUAUAAUGACCUUGGUGCCAAGAAAAAUGGGUUAGACCAAAAAGGGAUGGCAACUCACAACGCGGUGUGGUAGUCUACCCAAAAAUUUGUUGUUAUCUUGCCCAUUGUACUACUAACUACUACUAACAAAAACAGCAAAAAGGAAUAAAAAAUAAAAUAAACUAUUGUUACUAUAUGCACCGCACCGUUGGUUAUGACCUACUCGAAGUCUUCUUCCUCCUCCUCGUCUUCUACAACCUCCGGUUCCACAUAGGUUGUGCCAGAAUAUUUCUUCACUACUGCUACACAAUAAGCCAAUUGGCUUUUCAGUCAUUUCUGCUCUUAAAGGAUCUCUGUUUGGCGACAGAGAAAUUUCUUCAUAAAUCCCUCAAUUUUGGCUUUCCACGAUCUACAUUUUGGUUUAGGAGGCGUUGUGGAGGUUAAGAUACCGGGAGUGUAGGUAUUAGUAGAUGUUGGGCCAUAGGCCAUGGACUUACUUUUGUGGACCUAGGCAAGAAUAAUUAAACCCACUAGUAAUUUGGUGAUGCUCUCCAGCCAAAACUGAUGCACAUAAUAAGGUUAC